rnacentral:rRNA from 1 species
AGGACGAACGCUGGCGGCGUGCUUAACACAUGCAAGUGGAGCGACGAACCGGGGCUUGCCCCGGGGCAGAGCCGCGAACGGGUGAGUAACACGUGGGUAACCCACCCCGAUGAUUGGGACAACCCGGGGAAACUCGGGCUAAUACCAAAUGUGCUCGUAGACCAUGAGGUCCAUGAGUAAAGAUAGCUUCGGCCUUCGCAUCGGGACGGCCCGCGGCCCAUUAGCUUGUUGGUGAGGUAACGGCUCACCAAGGCUGCGAUGGGUAGCUGGUCUGAGAGGACGAUCAGCCACACUGGGACUGAGACACGGCCCAGACUCCUACGGGAGGCAGCAGUGGGAAUCUUGCGCAAUGACGCGAAAGCGUAGGACGCAAGCAACGCCGCGGUGGAGGAAGACGGUCUUCGGAAUUAGUAAACCUCC